CUGCCUACAGAUCUGUAGCAAUUCUGGAUAAUAUCCUAAACUACAGCAGCAUCCUAAGGAGAAUUCUGCUUCUGACAUCCAGGCUAUCUGUCCUAUCCCAUAGCUACAGGUGUGCCUGACAAUAUCCAUUGCUAUUUGUUGUCUUUCCCAUAGCACUGCCAAUAAUCUUGAGGCUGAAACCAGAGCAGGGUCAGAUGAUGUGCCGGGCCUGCAUGUACUUGCCUUCAUUCUGGCUUCCAGUGGCUCUACCACGUGGAGAUCCAAUUGAGAAAAAAUCUCGGUGUAGUUCUGAUUUAUGUGCACCAGUGCAGAGGGGAGCAGAAGCUUUUAGUAUCUUGGGAAGCAGUUAGGAAUUAAGGCCAAGGAAAGGACAGUCACGUCAAUUACAUCCUAAAAAAGGAAAACUUAAGUGAGAGUCCUGGCUCCUGAACUGUUUCUGGGCUGGCAAAUGUUCACAGUUCUCUUGGCAGAUGCUGUAGAAAGCCCAUUUAGAUCCCCUCCCUUACACAAUGGCAUUGGGCUUACAGUUUUGAGGGGGGGCUGGUGGUGCUGUGCUAUUCCAUAAUGAUACUGAAAUGAAAUUAGGGGAUGCAUUGAAUAUUUUAAGAUCUCUGAUGUUAUCUUGUCAGGAUUCUCCACUGAACCCACAGCACUUCACUCCAGAUGUGGCUGAGGGAAGGGAAUCUCAUGUGAAGUGCAAGGCUGACACCUGGAGGGAACUGCUGAGAUGCAGCUGGAGAGGGAUUCUGCAGCACCCAGCUUGGGUUGGGAAAGCUCAGAGUGGGUGGCAAGAUCCCAGGUUUGGGAACUGCUCUUUUCUAGUGCGGGGGUGCUUUAGAUAGUCUUCCUUCUCCCCUCUUCCAGCAAUAAAUAAAAAUACAGAUUCAUAUUUCAGAUUUUCCAUGUCUGUUUUUAGGAGCGGAGAACAUAGAAGCAACCUCUGUGUCGGCUGGUUGUCCUCCUCUUCCAUGUUCAAGGCUAUUUGGAUCAAAACUUGUCUUGCUCAAUAGGCUGCUGCAAAUAAUGCAAGGUUUUUUUUUCAGCUGGUUAGGCUGAUGUGUUUGAACUGCUGCAUGAGAGACUUCCUGCUGCUUUGCCAUUUGGGAAACUGUGCUGGGAGUUUCUGGAGCACAGACUUGCAGGGCAAUUCCUGCUGUCAAAGCUGCAGCUGGAAGAUUUGGCAGUAGGUAGAGCUUGUUCUUUUCAUGUCUGGCUCUGCCGGCAGCCAUGGUGAGGCUUUUCUUGAAGCUGAUCCUAAUCACGGAAUGCAAGGCAGCUUCUGGGACAAAGUCUUCAUGCUUUUGGGAGUUUGCUUUCCAGCCUGGCAAUCACCCAUUUGCAGCACUUACUCAAACCUUUUCAGUAAUCUCUCUCCUCUGCCAGGAGCUGUUUCAGUAUCUGUGAAUGCUGUUUCUGCUCAAUCUAAUUUUAGAGUAUGCUAAUAACUAAGUUAUUUACUGUGCUGGCAUUACCAUACACUUUGUGUCUCAUGAACCCAAAGAUUAUGUGUCCAUUACAUCUCCUUAAUUCUCUUUGUCAUUGCCAGUGUGCUUCCAGUCAUAAACUUUGCUUAGCAGUGAAUGGUUGGUUGUGGAAAAAUACCCCAAACAACAGAACAAAACCAACGAAGAACUCUACUGCCAACAGUUACUUUCAGAACUCUUAAGUGCAAUUCUAUGCAAUUCUACCCAUCAAGCUGAAGAACAGCUCCCUGAGUCUCCAUAUGUCUUCACUGGUGUACCUCAAUACUGCCUGUCUUUCCCUUCUAACCUUCACACUCCUAAAAUACCACAUACUCAGUUCAUCCUGAUGAACAUACUGAACUACUCCAUGCAUUCACCACCCAGACCAGCUUAAAGGGUGAGCCAGGAAAACACUUCUCCAGUCUGGGAGAGAAGAGAGGCACGUUGCCAGCUUCAGGAGCAGCACAAGACAUUCUGUGUGCUGGAGAUGCUGCUUUUCAGCCCAGAGACCUGGGGAACCUAAUGCCACCUCUGUGGCCUCUGUUGCUUCAGCACUUCUCGUUAAUUGUGGCAUGACUAAAGAGGCAGCAACAUCUUUCCCCUUCCUCCACCUCAAUAAUAUUGCUGACGCUGGACUGUCAGUUAUGCUAAAUUAUACUGGAUCACUUGUGGUUAUUCAGUGAUGUAGACAAAUACCAAUUCCAGAUCAAGGGUGAACCCUGGUCACUAAACUUGUUUCACUUUGUGACUCGUUCCUGACUUAAAGCAUGGCACUUGCUGACAUUUUGUAAACCCAAUUUGUCAUCCUCCUAACCCCCAUCAUCCAAGCCAGGCAGAUUAUUUACUUUGAAAAAAUGUGUGGAUAGCUUCCAUGCGAAUCCUAAAUAGGUCCAGGUGCCAUAGCUAGAUUCCAGAGGGAGCUACAGUCAUGAGAUGCAUGUGCUGGUAAAAUAACUUCUAUCCUCGAUGCUUCAAAACUCAGUGACAUUCUCCCUGUUUAGAUGGUGUCUGGACUCUCAUUCCUGCAGAGCAGCCUGGCACCAGUGUGCUAAAGUGCCCAAGUACAUACCUUCAGGCCUGCACAUGGUCCCAAAGAGAUCAGCAAAUGUAAAUUAAGCACAUACUUAAAUACAUACUAAAAUAGCUUUGCAAUCAGAAUCAGUGACUACCCCCUCUUAAGCAACUCCCUUUGAAUCAUUGUAUUUAUCCCCAAAUAAAGCAUUCAAGUCAAGAAUUAGCUUGCUGCCUUCCAGAGAAUUCAUCAUUUCCAGUUUGCGAGCUUGAGGAGAGAAAUCCAGGAAGCAUCAAUAAAUCCACUUUGACAGCAGAGUAAAGAGCUGCAAAAGCAGUAACCUGUCAGGGAAAUGUGACUUAAUUUCUCAGGGAAAGAUCCGUUUUAUAAAUGAAAUAAAAAUGCCAGCAAAUCAAAUAGCAGGAAGUGUCACACUUGGUUGUCUCUCAGCAGGGCAAACAAUAAAUGAAAAGGCAGCAAGGUAAAUGCCAUGGUUCUACAUUUAGCAAGGGAAGUCAUAACAGAAACUGAGAAUAAUAACAUACACCGAGAAUCUGUGCUCAGCAGCCUGGGUAUGACAAAGGUACGUGUUCCCAUAUAAACACUCCUUUAAUCUACACGUUUUCACUUGGACAAAACGAAGGUUACGUGCUGGAGUUUAAGGACUUGCUGAGAUUCCCAGAUUGGACAUCAGGGGGCAGCCUUACCUGCAGUUCAUUGAUGGCAGAGCCGCUCUGUCCUAUCGAGGCAGGGUCAUUACAGGCCUCUCAAGUUGCAAUGUCAAGAUCUGGAGCUUUCCCCCUUUCUAUGACCCUUUCUAUCACUUUUCAGAUAUCUUGAUUCAAAGGCUGAGCACUGUCCCUUUAAAUAAGCACAGAGCUCUCAGGCCAAAUGGGGAAUGAAGCCCAGGCUACCAACAGUUAUGAAACCUUCCAUUCCGAGCUUGCAGGCUUAGGGGCUGCUGCUACACUCCGAGGUUAAUAAUCAGUUUUAAUCUUCACUUAGGGGGCUGUAAAAAAGGAAUGAAAAUUUCCUCAUUUGAAGCUGGGCUUGACUGACAGCUUUAUUAUCUGGGUAAGAUAAGUGAUUGCUGGGGACACUGGAGGGCACUGAAGUUUAUGGAAAGAGGAACGCCAUAAUGAAGCUUUAUUGGGAUGGCAUCACCAAACAAUUGCUGUGAUAGCAACACUCCCAAGCUUGGAGAAGUGCCAGACGUUUCCCCCCUGGAACUGACUCAGACACUACCCUCUCUGGCUCAGGACUGACGCAGAAAAUGGAUGCUUUCUGGCUCAUAAAAUGGCCUCUUUCCGGCUUGGAAAUCACUGAGGAACUGUCCACUUUGGAUUUGGGAAGAACUUGGGAACUGCUCUUUCUCCAUUGAACAAUGACUUUGAAAUGCACCUUUCUUUUGCUUGAUUCUGACUUGAAACUAUAAAAGUGUUUGUUUAAAUUUG